rnacentral:rRNA from 1 species
GACGAACGCUGGCGGCGUGCCUAACACAUGCAAGUCGAGCGAGUGGAUCUCCUUCGGGAGAGAAGCUAGCGGCGGACGGGUGAGUAACACGUGGGCAACCUGCCUCAUAGAGGGGAAUAGCCUCCCGAAAGGGAGAUUAAUACCGCAUAAGAUUGUAGCUUCGCAUGAAGUAGCAAUUAAAGGAGCAAUCCGCUAUGAGAUGGGCCCGCGGCGCAUUAGCUAGUUGGUGAGGUAACGGCUCACCAAGGCGACGAUGCGUAGCCGACCUGAGAGGGUGGUCGGCCACAUUGGGACUGAGACACGGCCCAGACUCCUACGGGAGGCAGCAGUGGGGAAUAUUGCACAAUGGGGGAAACCCUGAUGCAGCAACGCCGCGUGAGUGAUGACGGCCUUCGGGUUGUAAAGCUCUGUCUUCAGGGACGAUAAUGACGGUACCUGAGGAGGAAGCCACGGCUAACUACGUGCCAGCCGCCGCAGUAGUAC